rnacentral:lncRNA from 1 species
UCCACUGCUCACCGCCAGUCGUAGGAACCACAUAACUUGAGCAGCUACAAGCGGCUGGACUAGUUAUGUCCCUGAUAUUUGAAAUCCAUGCACUAACAGCUCUGGAGUAGAGACGACAGGGGUAUGAGUACCUCUCCCGGUCUGAGAGGUGGCUGGUAGGGUCUAAUCUAGAACCGCUUGAGUAAGGCUGGUGCAAACAGUCAAUAUCUAUGCUAGAGUCUCCUGAAGGCCCGAAAUCACAAAAAGAACAACUGGUGCUUAAGCUGGUCCCAC